AUGCGUUGUUGGGUAGGGGAGCGUUCUGUAAGCCGUUGAAGGUGGCCUGUGAGGGUUGCUGGAGGUAUCAGAAGUGCGAAUGCUGACAUAAGUAACGAUAAAGCGGGUGAAAAGCCCGCUCGCCGGAAGACCAAGGGUUCCUGUCCAACGUUAAUCGGGGCAGGGUGAGUCGACCCCUAAGGCGAGGCCGAAAGGCGUAGUCGAUGGGAAACAGGUUAAUAUUCCUGUACUCGGUGUUACUGCGAAGGGGGGACGGAGAAGGCUAUGUUGGCCGGGCGACGGUUGUCCCGGUUUAAGCAUGUAGGCGGGUGUUCCAGGUAAAUCCGGAACGCUGUUAACGCUGAGGUGUGAUGACGAGGCACUACGGUGCUGAAGCAACAAAUGCCCUGCUUCCAGGAAAAGCCUCUAAGCAUCAGGUAACAUCAAAUCGUACCCCAAACCGACACAGGUGGUCAGGUAGAGAAUACCAAGGCGCUUGAGAGAACUCGGGUGAAGGAACUAGGCAAAAUGGUGCCGUAACUUCGGGAGAAGGCACGCUGAUGGUAGGUGAAGUGAUUUACUCAUGGAGCUGAAAUCAGUCGAAGAUACCAGCUGGCUGCAACUGUUUAUUAAAAACACAGCACUGUGCAAACACGAAAGUGGACGUAUACGGUGUGACGCCUGCCCGGUGCCGGAAGGUUAAUUGAUGGGGUUAUCCUCGCGGAGAAGCUC
rnacentral:rRNA from 1 species